GCCAGGCGUGGUGGCACACGUCUGUAAUCCCAGUGACUCGGGAGGCUGAGGCAGAAGGAUUGUGGGUUCAGAGCCAGCCUCAGCAAUUAGUGAGGCCCUAAGCAACUCAGUGAGACCCUGUCUCUA
rnacentral:sRNA from 1 species